rnacentral:rRNA from 1 species
GAUGAACGCUGGCGGCGUGCUUAACACAUGCAAGUCGAACGAAGCACCUUGAUUUGCUUCUUCGGAUGAAGAUCGUGGUGCCUGAGUGGCGGACGGGUGAGUAACGCGUGGGUAACCUGCCUCAUACAGGGGGAUAACAGUUAGAAAUGACUGCUAAUACCGCAUAAGACCACAGCACCGCAUUGUGCAGGGGUAAAAACUCCGGUGGUAUGAGAUGGACCCGAGGCUGAUGAGGUAGUUGGUGGGGUAACGGCCUACCAGGACGACGAUCAGGAGCCGACAUCAGAGGGUGACCCGCCACAUUGGGACUGAGACACGGCGCAAACUCCUACGGGAGGCAGGAGUGGGGAAUAUUGUACAAUGGGGGAAAUCCUGAUGCAGCGACGCCGCGUGAGCGAUGAAGUAUUUAGGUAUGUAAAGCUCUAUCAGCAGGGAAGAAAAUGACGGUACCUGAAUAAGAAGCACCGGCUAAAUACGUG